GAGGAUAUAUCUCAGUGGUAGAGUGCCUGCUUAGAUAGAAUGCAUGAGGUCCUGGGUUCAAUCCCCAGUACUUCU
rnacentral:tRNA from 1 species